CUCCGUUGCUCCUGCUUCCUCCUUGCUGCCUCCCAUCCUGCUGUCCCCUCCCCCAGGCAGUGUUUGUGCAUCAACAGGACCUGCAGUCCCCAGCUUGGCUUUAACCUUUUGGAUAAAUGAAAAGCAGAUUUUUGACCAGAAGCAGCCCAACAUUGUGAGUAGAGAGACUGCUCACAAGAUCAGCUGAAACAAAACUGAGGGGUUUAAUCUGCUACAUCACGUCCUAUGCCAUGACUGAACAGGAUGAUGUUCAGGCUGUAAGCAGCGCUGUCCAGCCCAUCGUACUUCACACUCUAGCAUGAAUUUCCAAUGUGUUUCCAAAUGAGUAUAAUCUAUGAAAAACCAGGAACCUCCAAAUGCUUCAGUCUAAAGGUUAAUAAACUAGUUUAUCAUU